CCUUAAAAGGAAAUCCUCUUUCCCUUUCAUGCUUUCACAACGACACAUGUUGCUCUUGCUCUUACCCUUGCCCGAUCCCCUUUCUCACUCGAAAAUUGCUGCCGCCGGUAGCUCCCAUCAGCUUGAUUCCUUGAUUCAGUGCCUUGAGCUUGUUCGUCCUCACCUGCAGCCUGCCCUGCAGCUUGAUUCGUUUGUGCGGCCACAUGGCGACCUUCGACGACGGCUGGUUUGUCUCCUGAUCUCCUCGUACGCCUCCUCUAUCUCCGCCUAGGAUGGUAAACGGCGAUGGAGGGGUAGCAGGGCCCAAGGUGUAGCUGCGCAAGGGAGGAGGCGAGAUCAGGCGUGGAUUUCAUCUCCCGCAGCUGCUUUGAUCCAUCUUUACUAUGAGGAUGGUGUAGAUGUUUUCUGCCCCUAAAGCGCCGGCCAGACGCAUCCUCCACAUGGGCAACAUUCUUCAAAGUCUGAAGUGUGUUUCCCUACAGCAAGAAAUAAGGAGGCACAUAACUCGGAACGAUUGGACGUGGGGAGCAAAAAAAGAAAUAUUACCUUGUUGUUUACCGCAAAUAGUAGUAAAGGUCCAACCCCUAGGUAAAUAUCGCCCUUGAUGAAGAGGUUGAAUUCUGGCCACUUAUAGGGUCUGUCUAUGGCGUGUAUCUCAAGUCCCAACUCUCACCUGAUGGGUCUUCUAAUCUCCCUCUAGCUGGCUGACAGCAGAAUUCAUAUGUUAAUAACAAUGCUGAAAGAGCAAUCCAACCAUCCAAGGCAUAUGGUUUUGGAGAUCAGCAGUUUGCAAAUACGGAAGGAAAAAUUACCUUAUAGCAGCUAGCUGUUGGGGUGAAAGCAAAUUGUAAAUUUUUUGAUUCAGUUAUGUUUGCACGUGGUUGUACCACAUCAAAACUGAUAUAACCUUCCUAAUCUUAUGACAAUUCUUUCGCCUUAUUUUUUUUUGUAGCUGAGCGACUGCUUAUAUUCUUUUCCCUGGCGGCCAUACAUGCCUAUCUCUUGUGUAUUCAUUGAUCAAUUUUUGUUGAGCAUAUUAGCUACCAAUCUGUCCUGCUUAGUGGUCGAUCCUUUUAAUAAGGGACAAAGUAGAAGUAACACUGCAGUGAAGAACAAUAGCAUACCUAGCCAUCAAGGCCGGAUUCCUGUAUGCACAUUGAGCAGCAGAGAGAGAACAAAUAUGUUUGAGGUUGAGGAUGCAUGGUGAGCCCGAGGGGAGGCUCGAUCAAUCUCGACAGUUACCCCAUCGUCGGGCAUGGCUUCCAUGGGGGCAUGGAGAUGAUGUUUUUUUUUCUUUAGGAAAUGAUUAAUUAUUAUUCGUUUUUAGUGAAAAGAUAUGGAAGUGAGAUAUGUACGUGAUGGAUGUGAGGUUUUUUUUUUUUGAGGGGUAUGUGAGGUUGUUUUUUUAUGUGAAAAGAUAUGGAUGUGAGAAAUGGACGUGAGAUUGGUUUUUUGGGAAAAGGUGAAUUGUUAUUCA